ACGGGGGGGGCAAGCGUUGUUCGGAAUUACCGGGCGUAAAGGGCUCGUAGGCGGCCAACUAAGUCAGACGUGAAAUCCCCAGGCUCAACCUGGGAACUGCGUCUGAUACUGGAUGGCUUGAGUUCGGGAGAGGGAAGUGGAAUUCCAGGUGUAGCGGUGAAAUGCGUAGAUAUCUGGAGGAACACCGGUGGCGAAGGCGGCUUCCUGGACCGACACUGACGCUGAGGCGCGAAAGCCAGGGGAGCAAACGGGA
rnacentral:rRNA from 1 species